rnacentral:lncRNA from 1 species
GGGCGGAGGGGCAGGAGGUGCCAGGGAAUGAAAGAGCCUCCUUCCUUAUUGUCCUCUCCCUUAGAGACCGGCUAACAACGCAGGUCCUGGCUACCUGUCCGGGUCUCAGCCCACGGGCCCGAGGAGGCAGCGUGAGGCGGGGGCCCGACCUCCGCGCCGCGGCUCCAGCCUCCUGCGGGCACCAGGGCAGCCAUGAACAGGAUCUUUCCUCAGCCAAGGACCCUGGAUGGAAACCCAGCGGGGGAAAACAAGGCCUUUGAAAGUGAGGAAGAUUGUUGCAGCCCCUUCUCCUGCUGCACCCGCCGAGGUUUCUGGAUCUCCGCCUGGACCUUGACCCUCCUUGGAUCUCUGAGUCUCAUCCUCUGGCUGAUCAACAGCUUUGGACUCCCACCCCCACCCCAAAUGACCAGGGCCUGUGCGACCACGUCCAACCAGACGGGGUUCCUGUGUGACGACCGGAAGACUUGCCUCCCCGCCAGCCUCCUGUGUGACCGCGUCCGGGCCUGUGCCCACGGAGAGGACGAAGAAGAGGCCUUGUGUGGGAACGUCCCCCACAGCCUGCCCAGUUUCUUGGUGUUCCGAUGCGGCGACCUCAGCUCCUGGACCUUCGAGGAUCAGAAGUGCAACGGCUUCAAUGACUGUGGAGACUGCUCUGAUGAAGGCUCCCGGGCCGGCUGCCCGCCCUGUGGCCCUCAGUGGUGGAGCUGCUCCUCCACCUUCUACGAGUACUGCGGCUGCAUCCCUCGGCGCCUCUGCCGGGACCACGUUCAGCACUGCUCGGACUGGUCAGACGAGUACCUCUGCCCCCGGCCCUGAGGAGCCCGGCCGGCCUCGCCUCCAUCACCGCUGGGCCCCCGGCCGCAGGGAACGGAAGGCAGAGGCCAAGACCCCGGGCCGGGGAAGCGGGCAGGCCCCCCCGGCUCCUCCCCAAGGCCCAGACCCACCGGCCCCUCCAUCGGGGGAGCAGCAGCCUGGCUGUCGGGCCCCCUUUCCCUCCUUACCGUGAUGUGGCCAAGUUACAGCCAGGAGCCUCCCUGCUCUUCCAGCCUCCAUCCUCCCAACCCACCAGCCAAGGGAGUGGGCGGGGGCACAGACUGCGGCCUCCAGACGCUAAGCCUGAUCGUCAUGGAUCUGAGGGGGAAUGGAGAGAGCCCCAGGGGCAGGGCCAGGGAAGGACGGGGCUACAUUUGGACUGGACGGCGCUGAGGAUCAGACACCAAAAGGCCCCUCCCCGGUGGGCUGGCGCAGUCUCCGGGAUGGCGCGGGCUCCGGCCUGGUGUGAUUUCCAGCCUGGCGUGGCACAGUCUCCAGCCUGGCAUGGCAGCACGCCGAGGUUUGUGCGGUGACCUUGGCUGAGCCCCCGUGCCUGACCUGAGCUUCCGUUUCAAGGCUGGCCCAGCGGGGUGUGAAGAUUGCCCCUCUCCCAGGACGGGGACACAGGAGCCACCACUUCCCUCUGCCUCUCAGGAAGCCCUUGGGGAGGAGGCCCAGGGCCAUCCCUGUGGCACUUUCAUUGUUCACCUGCCCCGCUCUCCACCUGGAGCUUGGGGGGCGGGGCAAGAUCCCCCUCAUUCCCUUGGUGUUGGUGGAGGCUUCACAUUCUUAAGGAGCUGCUGUGGCAACUUGCCCAGCAACGUCUCCAUGAGGUUCCCGUGGGGUGACAGCUCCUUCCUCCUCCUCUUCUUCCUCCUCCUCCUUCCCUCCACUCAUUCAGUGCCACCCGAGGCUCAGGUGCCAGGAGAACAAAGGGAGCCCCUGGUGCCCUCUGUCAAUAUUUACCACCUCCCAGCAGGGCCCCAGGUCUGGGAUCAGGGCAUUAAAUACACAAAUUUUUGUGUAUUCACAAAAUACACAGCCCCGCACUAUUCAAACAGGAGACAGAAGGCCAAGAGCCCUUGGGGUGGGUGCAGGUCACGCUCAGUGCUCUCCCCUUUAGCCCUUCUGGCUCUGGCGUCUCCCCUGGACUCUUGCCUUCCCCCCUCCCCCACCACCCACUUUGGGCUUGGGCAAGGAGCCUGGAGAGCCAGUGGGGGCAGAGGCUCAGGGAGGCUCAAGGGUGGCCCUUACCUUCUACAGAUGGGAGAAGGGAGGCCUGGGAGGGAGUCCUGGGCCCGGAGCUCAAAGGGUCAGAGAGCCCUGCAGGUCCCAGAGAGCCCAGGCAGUCCCGGAGAUUCCUGGAGGUCCCAGAGCCCAGGUGGUCCCAGAGAGCCCUGGAGGUCCCAGAGCCCAGGCAGUCCUGGAAAGCCCCAAUGGUCCCAGAGCCCUGGAAGUCCCAGAGAGCCCUGGAGGUCCCAGAGCCCAGGUGGUCCCAGAGAGCCCUGGAGGUCCCAGAGCCCAGGCAGUCCUGGAAAGCCCCAGUGGUCCCAGAGCCCUGGAAGUCCCAGAGAGCCCUGGAGGUCCCAGAGAGCCCCAGCGGUCCCGGAGAGCCUUGGCAAUCUGUCAGGCAGGGACGGACACUGUGGCAUGGGCUCCCCCCUGUGCUGUUACUGCUCCCUUGUUCUCAGUCACCUCCCAGGGUCUGGGACCCCGCUUGAGCUGUUCUUGGCAGUAGCUCGCCACUUCCUUCUGCGGCCCCGCGUGUUAGUGGGGUGACCCAACAUUCCCAGCAGCAUUUGGAGCCACAGCAGACUGGCUCAGCCGAGCAAUUGUGGCUGAGGGAGGAGCGGAAGCGUUCGGGGGACCGUGGGACGCAGCCGGAAGACAAAGAAGCACAGGGAGAAGGACUUGAGGAGACCACUGUGCAUCUGAGACCCCAGGAAUGAUGUCAAUGACAUCACAGGUGGCUCCAGUGACAUCACCGGUGACGUCUCGAUUCAUGCAUGAAUUUGGGCUGCACAACGUCAUCGUGACCCCCCCCUUCCCAUGGCUGGACAAGUCAGGACACCAGCGGUGACUCAGGAUGCAAUGGAUUCGGCCACUGAGUAAAUAAAUUGUUCUCCUCCAUCGGUCCCACGAGGGCAGUCUUCAUACACUUGUGGGGCAGGUGCCCCCCAGCUGGUCUAUCUGCUGAGAAGCUUUGCCAGGACAUGGCUGCACAGGCUGCAGCUUCCGGGAGCCACUGACCAAAGAUGGAUGGGCAGCCCUGGGAAGUGCCAGGGGUCCUGCACAGCCCCUCCAUCCCCCUUGUGGGAACUGAGGUGAAGGAAGCCCCCGGGAGUCUACACUCUAACUGCAGCACCGCUAGCUGGAAGAUGGGAUGGAAGACUCGUUCUCUAAGAAAUGACGGACACGAACUGACGUCGAGCGAAACGAGCAGACCCUGGAGAACGCCGUGCCAGGCCACGAGAUUAUGGGGCGACUGAUUUGGUGCUUCUCAGCGACACAGUGAGUGAUCCAAGGUGUCAUCUGCCUCCAAAGAACAAGCCUGAAGGCUGAGCGUGGCUAGUACCUACGCUUUUCACCUUUGGUGGCUGUUUGCUUUUUCUCGUGUUUUUUUCUCUUUCGUUCAUACUAUUGAGGAAAAAACAAAGAAAUCACUAGUUGAGCUCCAACUGAAGGCAAUGCUCACUGUUGGUUCUGCAGGACAGAUAACAGGUACCUCUCUCCUCCGGAGGGUACGGAGGGGGAGAGCAGGAUGGAGUGUGGGUCCAAAAUGUCUGGGGGACAUCUGCCCUCAAAGCUCUCUGAUGUAAAAACAAAAGGCAUAAUUUUUUAAGUUUUAAAUAAGACCUUAGCCAGAAAUAAAAAUCCAAAACUAAGGCCAGUGGUGACAGACACCUGUCUUUCCCAUUAGUCCCAGAACCCGGGAGCGAGGAGCCUUCCAGGUUUGUUUCCACCAGCUGAUGUCUUAAGAAAGGGGGUGCUGGGAUGAAUACAGGUGCUGGAGAGACUGAAAGGAACUGAUGCUGAGGGAAAUGAGCAGGGCCAGGAGAUCAUUAUAUACGUCAACAACGAUACUGUGUGAGGAAGUUUUCUGAUGGAAGCGGAUUUCUUCGACAAAGAGAAGAUCUAGCUCAGUUCCAAUUGAUCAAUGAUGGACAGAAGCAGCUACACCCAGAGAAGGAACACUGGGAAAUGAGUGUGAACUGUUUGCAUUUUUGUUUUUCUUCCCGGAUUAUUUCUACCUUCUGAAUCCAAUUCUUCCUGUGCAACAGGAGAACUGUUUGGUUCUGCACACAUAGAUUGUAUCUAGGAUAUACUGCGACCUAUUUAACAUGUAUAGGACUGCUUGCCAUCUGGGGGAAGGAGGGAGGGAGGGUUAAAGUCGGAACAGAAUUGAGUGCAAGGGACAAUGUUGUAAAAAAUUACCCAGGCAUGGGCUCUGUCAAUAAAAAGUUAUAAUUAUGAAAAAAAAAACCAGAAUAAGGAUAGUAGGUUUUUUUGAAUGAAGAAUUUGUAGCUAUUUGUAGUUUGCAAAGAAUAUUCGGAAUCAUUAUUGAUAGGAAAAAGCAAAUUAAAACAACUUUCAAAUAUCAUUUCAUACUUAUCAUAUUACCUAAAAUUAUAGAAAGAGAAAAUGACCAAUGUUAGCAACCAUAUGAAACAUUAAUGCAUUAGCAUUUUGGAGAGCAAUGUGGAAUAUAUAUCUCAAAGAAUUAUUAAACUUACCUAUGCGCAGUAUUAUUGGUCAGUUUCCUAAUUAGGAGAAAUUUUUAAAAAUUAAAGAACUUGCAUAUUAAUGUUUUUGUAUUAUUAUAUAUUCUUUCUUGAAAUGGAAAUUUAUUGUUACACAUAUGUGCACAUGAGAAUGUUUGGGGUUUUUCCUUGUUCUGUCAUGGUUUCCUUAAUUUUUUUUCUUAUUUUGUAUUUUAUUUUAAAUAAAUAUUUACAAAAAUAUUAUUUAAAAAAAAGAAAGGGGGUGCUGGAGACCAAGUCCUCUGGUUAAUUACUUCUCCUUGUAAAAGAAAUCUCCUUUAAUAUUAUUGUUCUGUAAGAAAUGAUCAGCAGGACGAUUUCAGAGAGUCCUGGAGAAACAGGAACUGAUGCCAAGUGAAGUGAGCAGAAUCAGGAGAUCGUUGUAUACGGCAACGACAAAAUUAUACAACGAUCAAUUCUGACUCUCUUCAACAGUGAGGCGAUUCCAAUGACCUUGUGAUGGAGAGCGCCUUUUGCACCCAGAGAGAGGACUGUGGGAGCUGAGUGUGGAUCACAACCUGGCAUUUUCACUUCUUUUGUUGUUGUUUGCUUGCAUUUUAUUUCUCAUUUUUUCCUUUUUGAUCUGAUUUUUCUUGUGCAGCACAAUAACUGUAUAAACACGUUUUGCCUAUAUUGGAUUUACAUAUAUUUUUAUCAUGUUUAACAUAUAUUGGAUUACUUGCU